rnacentral:ncRNA from 2 species
AGAUGACACUAGGGGUGGUUACUUAAUAACCUGAGACAAAUUUUUGAACCCUUUGAACCUGAAUAAGUUAAGACUUACGUAGGAAAGUGGUUGAGAUAACUG